GAGCUCAGAUGGCAGAGCACGAGACUCAAUCUUGGGGGCUUGGGUUCGAUUCCCAUGUUGGACA